rnacentral:rRNA from 1 species
UACGUAGGCACCAAGCGUUGUCCGGAUUUAUUGGGCGUAAAGAGCGUGUAGGCGGCCAGGUAGGUGGGUUGUGAAAACUGGAGGCUCAACCUUCAGAGGUCGACCCAAACCCCCUGGCUAGAGUCCGGAAGAGGAGAGUGGAAUUCCUGGUGUAGCGGUGAAAUGCGCAGAUAUCAGGAAGAACACCCGUGGCGAAGGCGGCUCUCUGGGACGGUACUGACGCUGAGACGCGAAAGCGUGGGGAGCGAACAGG